GUGCCGCUCGCGUUCUCCUCAGUGGGGCCUCCUGGGGUCUGUGAGGAAGGACCGGGAUAACCCCCCUACCCCUCGCCGCGGCGCUGAGGAGGUGGAGCAGGGCCGAGGAAGGCCCUCCCCUCCUGGCGUUGGCCGGCCCUGGGCCCUGCCCUCCCGGCUUAGGCGGCGGGGCUCCGGCCUGGGGCAGGCGCUGAGGGGAGGCAGCGGCGGCAGCUUGUCCCGGUCCCGUCCCGCCCCGCCCCGCCCGGGGGAAGCGGCGGCCCCAGCGGCUGUAUUUCGCCCCCCAUUACGGGGGUGCCCUCGCCUGUGCCCGGCCUUCGCUCCCGAGAAGUCCCCGGAGCCCGCAGACACCCCGUCCCUGCUGGAAACCCUGCUCCGGCUGCAGCGAAGCAGAACAACGCGGGCUUUCUGCCUCUCGCUUUUUAUUUUUUCUUUUUAAACGCCAGUGGUAAUCCCCUAAUUUAGGGGAGACUGACUCAUCGUUUUUAAACCCUCAGAGUUUUUGGUAUGACUGGUGUUUAUUGAGGCACUGAUGUUUUGCUGCUUCUUGUAGGGAAGACAGAGAGCGAUGGCCUGACUUAAGGAGCUCAGCAUCUCAACCCCAUCCAGGUGUUCCUGCUGCUGUCAUCAGCUUGUUGUCUGAGGCCCCAGAGUGGGGCUUUUGGGGGAGUGGUGCAGGCACCAGAAUACUUACGAGGAGCGGAGACUGUAAACUAAGCUCAUUUUGAACUGACCCUGCUCCAGUCCUUGGGCAGACUUCAGAGGGCAGUUGCUUGUUUUCUGAAGAUACCUGAAAACAGAUAUUUCACUGGAUACAGCUCCUCAUCUCUUCCUCUGCUUGCCCUGAGACUUUUGCACUCGCUGCCUCUUUGCACAUCUGUUUUUUGGCUGCUGCCAUCUCUUUCUUGCACCUGCUGCACCUAGUGAGCUGAAAGAGCCCUGGCAUUAAAGGGUCAGCUUCCUUGCCAGGUUCCUGAACUAGAAUCUGACAAGAAGGGCCACGGAUACUGGAAAUGUGCUCUUGGUAACACAACAAAUGCAGCCUUUCUCCUCUGCCAACAGUUCUAAGAUGGUGUGGUUUAAUUUUUUAGAAGAAAAACGCAGCACCUUUAGCAACAGAGAGAAAACUGUAAAACUUCACAAAGCAUGUACCUCCUAAUAAUAAAUACAAAGAAAAAACACAUUUUUAGCUUAUUUUUUUGUUUAUUUACUUAUGAUACAAAACAUGCUCUGAGAUCUGCCCACUGAUCUUACCUCUGGGGACAAAUCUUGCAGGUAUUCCUGGGAAUGGAAACUGGAAAAUCCAUGAGGAGCCAGGUGAGCCAGAGCCCCCAAAG